rnacentral:lncRNA from 1 species
UUUAUUUAUUUAUUAAAUGUAGACAGUGCAUUUAAUUUGCAUAUCUAAAGUAUUAUUAAAUAAUGUUUUGCUUAGCUGUUCUAUCUGGGCUACAUUACCCCACAAAUAACCUGUUUUUGGCCAAAGCGUAUUUGCGUAGGAAGUUAUUUGAAUGUUUCGCGUUGCGCAAGAGUUUUGCCCCGAGUAACACGUGACUAUUUGUGAAUCCUGAUUUUGUGCUGAAAUCUCGCUUUGCUUUUUUUUAACAGUUGCUGACAGAAGUCAGAAAUGAGCUCUCGAGCUGCACUCCUUCUCUGGAUGUGUUUUGCGGACCUGUUCUUGUACACAGUUACGUCAGCUUUGCCAUCAUCAGCGCUGUCAAUCACGAAGUGUGUGAUUAUACAGUACACCAACAUUACCUGUUACUGGGAAACAACUAAUCUCCACCCGAACAACAGCAGCAGCUACAGACUUCAGAUUAACAAAACCUCUUGCCAAAGUAAAAACAGCUUCAUCCUGGUGGGUGUUUGUGAAACCAGAGGGUCCAACUGCUCCGUUCAGCCCAUUGAUUCAGCCUUGCACUGUUUUCACGCGGAUGUUUUGGCGUCCACAAGCAACGGAUCCAUACGCUCGCCACCGUUCUUCUUCGAAGGAGUCAAUGCAGUUCAGCUUCGACCUCCACAGAUCACGCAUCUCAGGCCUUCAGCGAAUCGCUCCGAGUGUUUGGAGGUGAUCUGGAGAAUCACUGAGAGCUUUCCUAAGAAAGAGAGGGUCUUCAUACGGCUGCAGAUGGAGUACACAACACAUGGACAGACUCGAUCACAGACUGUACAAGCGUUUCCCUUGGAGGCACUUCAGCUCUGUGAUUUACACCCCGGAUCGAAGUAUACAGUACGACUGAGAGUGCAGGACAGGCGAGUGCAAGAACACUGGAGCUCAUGGACUUCUGUGGAGACCACCACAGCAGAGAGAGCUCCUUCUGCGGCUCCUCGAAUCUGGAGACAAAUCCAUCCUGCAGGAGAAGCUGGAAAGAGACGCCUCACCCUGCACUGGAAGGCUGUGUCGUGGCCGGAGGUCAAUGGUGUAGUGAUCAGUUAUUCAGCAUGGUGUCACAGUCAGCUGGAUUCCUCACGCUGGAGCUGCGCUGUUACAAACGCCUCCAAAAGCUUCUGUGUGCUCUUUGUCUCAGAUCAUCCCUGUGUCUGCAGCUUAACAGCCAUCAACUCUGCUGGAGCUUCACCAGCAGCUCACAUCUUCAUCCCUGCACACACACAUACAGAUGAGCUCCCGCCACCUCAAAACAUCAGCGUGACCCCGUUGGAUGAGACUCAGCUUAAGGUGGAAUGGACAGCGUCUCUGAAUCAAUCAGAGAGCGGCUUCAUGCUGCAGUGGACAUCUGUGCCUCACAUUGGCCCAAGUGAUCUGUACUGGGAACCGUUCAAUGAAACUGCAAGAAGUUUUGUAGUUACAGGUCUGAAAAACAAAAACUUUUAUUAUAUAUUUUUAUAUUUUAAAUAUAACAGUUUUGUGUUCUUAUAAAUCU